UUCUAGCAUAUAUUAAAAUUGCUGGUAAGUAGUUACUGAUAGAAAUUCGUGCUUUUGUAGUAAAUGCUAAAAUUCUUCUCUUUACAGCAGUUAAAACGCUCGUAGUUUGAAUUAUUUUCUUUCUUGCUGUUGUGCGGGAUAAAAAGUCGCGCGCAAGUGGCAAAGGGAAGAAAUUUUUAAGAACGAGGCGCAUUGGGGCUCUUUAAUUAGGGCCCCCGCCAGAUAACCAUGAACAAAAAUUAUUGCUCAAAGAAGGGCUUUUAAGUCUGUUGAGAUUUCAGCAUGGGAUUAUGGAAAAGGGGGAGGACGGAGAGGCAGGGGGCGCGGAGACGUGUGCCCUGCUUUGGCCGUCUUCUCAAUGGUUAAUGUGGACGAUUCGUGGAAGUUCAUAUUGGGGAGGGAGAGGUGAAAUUCUUGGAUUUCCCCAAGAUGAACAUCAGCGAAGGCAUUCUUCAAGGGCGUGCCAGUCAA
rnacentral:rRNA from 1 species